CAUUACAAUAGCCUCAAAACGUUUUGCCAACCAAAAAUUUUGCACGGUCUUCCUUGUUCACCAAAACUUAACUUCACCGCAAAAGUAGCUAUAACGUCAAACGAACUUGAAUCGGGCUGUUUAUCUUAGUCAAUUCAAUAUAACUCAGUCGGCGAUGUAAUUAUUUCUGUGAAGUUGAAUGUGGCGGCAUACGGGGCAACUUGCUGGUUUAACUCUGCAAAUUAUGGUUAUACUAUGGCAAGAAAUUUCAAGAAUCGCGAGCUCUUAACUAAAACAAGCAAAAGAAACUAGACAGUUAACGAGCGCUGAAAUUCCCAACAGAUCAAACUUAAUUCUUAUAUUUCCUUAUUAAACGUUCAGAAAACACGGAAGUGUGGUGCAGUUUUUUUCCUCUACCGAUCGUUCCAGUCGGUGCCGAAUACUGGCGUAAUUAUUUUUUUAAAUUGCCUGGUUCGUCUGUCUACCAUGACCGUCCGGAUCCAACCGGAUCAACGUGAACAUACUGUAGGCUAUAGCAAGACUCGGACGAGUUUAACCAAGUUUAGAGCCUGCAGCUGAAUUUUAUCGUUCAGCCCUUGGAUAUACUUCAUAAUUUACGCGCAAAUAACCCAAAGCGCCUUGAAGUGGAUCAGUAUAAAAGAGCAAAGGCCUUGUUGAGAAAGCAGUUCGUCCCUGCAGAACAACUAGACAAGUAUUGCAACAGAAAUACUCUGUUCUAUUUUGACGUCUGUUCUUUAAAAACGAAAAUGAAGACGGAAUUGAUAUUACUACUAAUUCAUUUGGUGUCUCUUACAUUGGCUGCUGUUGUUCCAGCAGCUGAUAAUGAAGUCACCGCUGUAGUUAUCACUUCAACCGAACCGGUUGAAUCUGCUGAAUCAAUCGAGUCGCUUGGAAGCAACGAUCCAAAGGUUAUUAGCGGUACGCCGAUAGAAAAGGAUAAAGAAAACGAGUCCGCUGAAUCCACCGAGUCCAUCGUGUCCGCUGAAACAACAGACUCACCUGUAUUAGACAACGAUGUCCUAAAAGCGGCUAAAGCAAGCGUUGCAGAGGCGGCGAUUAAUUCAGCACAUUAGUUGACUUGAUGACUUUACGACGUGGUAGUAACAUUAUUACCACGGGAAACAUUACACUCAAUUCCAAGACGGCAAUCUUUGUAAUUUAUUGGCUAUUCCAAAUACUUCACCCACUAAAGCAAAAUUGUUGAGUGGAGAAAAAUAUAAAUUGUACCGAA